GAUGAAGAACGUAGCGAAAUGCGAUAAGUAAUGUGAAUUGCAGAAUUCAGUGAAUCAUCGAAUCUUUGAACGCGCAUUGCGACCGCCAGUAUUCUGGCGGGCAUGCCUGUCUGAGCGUCAUUUCAACCCUCAUGCCCCUAGGGCGUGGUGUUGGGGAUCGGCCAAAGCCCGCGAGGGACGGCCGGCCCCUAAAUCUAGUGGCGGACCCGUCGUGGCCUCCUCUGCGAAGUAGUGAUAUUCCGUAUCGGAGAGCGACGAGCCCCUGCCGUUAAACCCCCAACUUUCCAAGGUUGACCUCAGAUCAGGUAGGAAUACCCGCUGAACUUAAGCAUAUCAAUAAGCGGAGGA
rnacentral:misc_RNA from 1 species